CAGGAUCUGUGCUGGGGUAUUAUGGCCUGGCUCCCGCGUGGGGAACUUGGAGGGCGUCGGGCUGGCCGGCAGUGGGUAGAGCUGCAGAGUGUGGGGCGGCGUCCGGCGUUGUUGCUCCCCGGCUCCGUCAGACUGGUGUCAGGGCCCCCACCCCGAAACUGAAUCGGAGCGACUGGGUGAUGCCUCUGACAGUUUUGAAAGCCUUCUCAGGCGAAUCUGAUGCUCGGCCAACGUUGAAGCCCAGCCCGCGUGGUUCCCUCAGCGUCCGGGGUAAACCCAGGAGGAAGCAAAGAGAUCUGAGUGAAGACACUGCAAGCAAAGAAGUGGCGGCUUACCAGGAACUGAAUUGACUGGUACCUUGAUCUUGGACUUCCCAGUCUCCAGAACUCACAGAAAUACAAAAUCUUAGAAGUGGAUACAGUAUUAAAGUUCAUAUACCAAGUUUUCAGUCAACAUUCUUUACAGCAACAGUGUUGUCCCCAUACCAGCCAUGGAGGAAGCUGUGAAAGAGAGGAUUCAGGAAAUUGGUGCAAAUGAGCCAUCUUGGAAGUCUCUUUAAAAAAUCCUCAGGACUUUCACCCAAAAGAAAAAAGUUCAUGCCAAAGGACUAUAGAAAGCAGGCCUUUAAGGAUGUGGUUGCAGUUGUUUCUGGAUUUCAUGUGAUGGUACAGAGGAGAGGUAACUGUGAUGGGAGAAGUCACACAGGUUGAUGGUUCAAGAGCCCGAGCUCUGGGCCAGCCUGCUUGAGUGGGCAUCAUUAAGCGUUUUUACAGUGUAUGGGCCAUCAGGUUGGAGAGCAAAGAUAAAUGGCUAUUGUAACUAGUGCUGCUAAGAACAUUGUGGUGCAUGUAUCUUUCUGAAUUAGAGUUUUCUCCAGAUAUAUGCCCAGGAGUGGGGAUGCAGGAUCAUAUGGUAGCUCUAUUUUUAGUUCUUUAAGGAACUUCCAUAUUGUUCUCCAUAGUGGCUGCACCAAUUUACAUUCCCAUCAACAGUGUAGGAAGGUUCCUUUUUGUCCACACCUUCUCCAGCAUUUAUUAUUUGUAGACUUUUUGAUGAUGGCCAUUCUGACCAGAGUGAGGCAAUACCUCAUUGUAGUUUUGAUUUGCAUUACUCUAAUAAUUAGUGAUGUUGAGCAUCUUUUUAAAAA